rnacentral:rRNA from 1 species
AACGAACGCUGGCGGCAUGCCUAACACAUGCAAGUCGAACGAAGCCUUCGGGCUUAGUGGAGCACGGGUGCGUAACGCGUGGGAAUCUGCCCUUGGGUUCGGAAUAACAGUUAGAAAUGACUGCUAAUACCGGAUGAUGUCUUCGGACCAAAGACUUAGCGCCCAAGGAUGAGCCCGCGUAGGAUUAGGUAGGUGGUGGGGUAAUGGCCCACCAAUCCGACGAGCCUGAGCUGGUCUGAGAGGAUGAUCAGGCACAUUGGGACUGAGACACGGACGAGGCUCCUACGGGAGGCAGCAGUGGGGAAUAUUGGACAAUGGGCGAAAGACUGAUCCAGCAAUGCCGCGUGAGUGAUGAAGGCCUUAGGGUUGUAAAGCUCUUUUACCAGGGAUGAUAAUGACAGUACCUGGAGAAUAAGCUCCGGCUAACUCCGUGCCAGCCGCCGCCGUAA